GAGUUUGAUCCUGGCUCAGGAUGAACGCUGGCGGCGUGCCUAAUACAUGCAAGUCGAGCGAACGGACGAGAAGCUUGCUUCUCUGAUGUUAGCGGCGGACGGGUGAGUAACACGUGGAUAACCUACCUAUAAGACUGGGAUAACUUCGGGAAACCGGAGCUAAUACCGGAUAAUAUUUUGAACCGCAUGGUUCAAAAGUGAAGACGGUCUUGCUGUCACUUAUAGAUGGAUCCGCGCUGCAUUAGCUAGUUGGUAAGGUAACGGCUUACCAAGGCAACGAUGCAUAGCCGACCUGAGAGGGUGAUCGGCCACACUGGAACUGAGACACGGUCCAGACUCCUACGGGAGGCAGCAGUAGGGAAUCUUCCGCAAUGGGCGAAAGCCUGACGGAGCAACGCCGCGUGAGUGAUGAAGGUCUUCGGAUCGUAAAACUCUGUUAUUAGGGAAGAACAUAUGUGUAAGUAACUGUGCACAUCUUGACGGUACCUAAUCAGAAAGCCACGGCUAACU
rnacentral:rRNA from 1 species